UCAAAAUGUUUACAUUUUGAAUUUUUUACAUUUUUUUUAUUUGUUUUUAUGUUUAUUUUUUAUUACUUUUUACCAUAUUGUUUUAAUUUUUUCAAUUUCAGUUUUACCUCCUUCUCUCUCCUCCGUCUCUCUCCUUUGUGUGCGAUUUCUGCCUCUGUUUGGCGGUUGUGGCAAUUUUUUGGGUUGUCGAGCUAAGGAACAUUGGCGAACGAAGGAUGAAGGCAAAUACAGCUCUUCAAGUGCUCUGCUUUUCCGUCUCUACUUCAGGCAACGGGACAUCAUGACCAUCCCUACACACGGCCGAAGAGGCCACAGACGUCGGGACCAUCUAUACUCUGCUCACGGUGGUGGACUGGCUAUGAUUGACCAUCUCUUCUCUCGGUCAGGUGAGUUUAGUCACAGUUAUUUAUAAAUUCAAUGUUUUCUUUUUUGCACAAGUGUUCUCCAAAACAAAUCGACCCUUUUACAUACAUAUAUAUAUAUAUACUUGUUUAAUUUCAAUUUGGUUAAAUGUAAAUGGGGUGUCUCUUAGAUUUUUAUGAUUAUUUAUAUCUAUUUUUAUAUAUAAAUCCAGAUAGAUUGACCAAAUCCACUUUUGUUGUUUAAUGUAUUUGAUGGUUGUGCUUGUUUGUUAUGAGUCUGAGAGUAUUUUUAUCAGGUAGUUUGAUUUUCUUAUUUGAUGGGUUUUCAUUUUCGCUUGUUCUUUUUGGUGUUAAUAUCUAUAUUAGUGGCAUUUUUAGGUUAAGAAACUAGCUUAUUAUUGUUUAUGCAAGACAAUAUUUGCAUUCGUUUGUUUCUUGAAGUUUAUUGUCAUUAAUUCUAACUCUAUUGGUUUCAGUUAGAACACAUUUGUUUUGGUCUUAUAUGGGAUUAUUUACCUAAAAUGAUGGUUUCAGGACCUUUUGUUUCUUUUUUCUUUUUGAGUAUAUCUUUUUCUAGUACUAGAGAUUACUGUGCCAAUUUUGUUAAAAAGUCAUUUUAAAACUAUUUUUGUAAAUAAGGUUGAGAGAUAAAUGAUUGAAACUGAAUUCAAGCACAAUAUCAAGUAUAUGCAAUUUGUUUUUUUUUUUAAUUUUGGUUUUGUGUGAAAUUGUUUGUUUGAUUUUCUAAAAAUUGUUUGGUUUUUUUGUUUUUUAGGUUUAAGAAAUAUGAUGAUAACAAGGUUGAGACAUCGAUCGAUUUCACUUUCAUGUUUUUAAUGUUGUUUUUUUACUUAGUUUAUUUAUAGUUAAUGAAAUUUUAUAUGCUCAGUAACUGGUUACUAUUUUUUUUUUAUUUUGGUUUUUUUUUUCAUGUUUUUGUUUAUUAUAGGUAAUUGGUUACUUUGAGAUUAUUCGUAUUUUAAAUGUGUUGUUUAAUUGUUAAUGUAACUGGUUACUUUGAUAAGUUAUUGGUUCUGUGUUUAAAAAAGUGUUGUUUCUAAUAAAAACAAUGUUAAGUAAUCAUUUUAUUUGUGAUUUUAUGUUAACCUAUAUUUAUAGUUGAUUUGUGGAUGCCUUGUAUAGGUUUCAAUGUAGCUUGUUAGAUCACGGGUUACCCUAGUUGUGUAUGCUUUUUCGUGUGAUGUUUAAUCUACAGGUAACUUAGCUGUGUAUGCUUUUUUCAUGUGUUGUUUAAUCUACAUGUAACUGGUUGCCCUAGCUAUGUUUGUGAUUGUUUAUAAUGAUUGUUAGAUCUACAAGUAACUGGUUACCCUAGCUGUGUAUGUUUUUUCAUGUGUUGUUUAAUCGACAAGUAACUAGUUACCAUAGUUGUGUUUGCCUUGUAUAGGAUGCAAUGUAGCUUAUUUUUGUGUGUGUGUGUUUAUAAUGUUUGUUAAAUCUACGCGUAACUGGUUACCCUAGUUGUGUUUGCCUUGCAUAUGUUUCAAUGUAGCUUAUUUUGUGUGUUUGUUUAUAAUGAUUAUUAGAUCUUCAGGUAACUGGUUACGCUAGGUGUGUAUGUUUUUUGAUGUGUUGUUUAAUCGACAAGUAACUGGUUAACCUAGUUGUGUUUGCCUUGCAUAGGUUGCAAUGUAGCUUAUUUUGUGUGUGUUUGUUUAUAAUGAUUGUUAAAUCUACAGGUAACUGGUUACCCUAGCUGUGUUUGCCUUGCAUAGGUUGCAAUGUAGCUUAUUUUGUGUGUGUUUGUUUAUAAUGAUUAUUAAAUCUAUAGGCAAGUGGUUACCCUAGCUGUGUAUGUUAUUUCAUGUGUUAUUUAAUUUCCAAGGUAACGGUUACUUUGGUAAGUAACUGGUUUCUUUUUUUGUGUUUGUCUGUUUUCUAAUUUUGCUAUGUAAUCAGUUUUAUUUGUGAUUUUUAAGUGUUUUGUUUUAUAUUUGAUUUGUUUUGCAUAGUUUGUAAUGUAGCCGGUUAACUUUUAAAGUAACCGGUUUCCCUUGUAGUUCUUAGUUAUUUUAAUUUUCUUUUUUUGUGGUAGUUGUGUUCUUCUUUUUUUUCGCAUGUUGUGCAUUAUAUGAUCAAACUAGAGUUUCAGUUUGGAAGUAAGGUUCAACAAUGGAAUAAACAUGAGGUUAUAGCUGAAUUGAACAAAGUUUUCACCAAGAAGCAGAAAGCUAUGUUUAGAAUAACUACUUUUGGAUGCCAAAAGAACUUGAUGCUCUGUUGCUUCGCCAAGACAUUGCUUGUUAGUUUGUAUUUUCAUUGGAAGAAGAAACAAGAAGAUGGAUAUCUGACUAACGAUGAGUUCAACGAUAAGCUUUUGGAGAAGAGGCAGAAGAUGAGGAAGAUUGUUGCAUAGGUUAUUUAGGAAGCUUUUAGAAGUGAUAUUUGACAUUUUUUUUUAUUUUGUUUAUGUUCUAGACCAGUUUAGCUUUUGUAAAGGAUAUUUGACUUUUGAAAAUGAUGACCAAUAGUUAGUUGCAUACUUAUCUAUUUUAAACUGCUACUAUUGUAAGACAUUUGUUACUUAAGAUUAUUUUAUAUAUCAAUUGAUCUUUUUUGUGUUC